rnacentral:lncRNA from 1 species
GCGCAGGAUUCGGAGCUCAGAGGCCCGGGCCGCCGGCCGCCUCCCCUCCGUGGCUCUAGGGCGGAGGCGGAGGCGGGGACCGGGGUAUCUCGCUCGCGCAGCCUGGAGCCCAUGCUGGGCUCAGCCCGACCCUGCUUUGGCCGCUGCCCGCCGGGUCUCCAGCGCCGCCGGACCCUCACGCCGCCACCUUCUCUCCAGCCCAGCGCCGCUGCGGCCGCAGCCUCCUGCCGAGCAUCUUCCAGAUCCCAAUCCCUGAGAAUCAGUUCUGGGAUGUAACAGAGCAAGCGGACAUUAUUCUGGGACCAGCAAGCCUCGGUCACUGCAGCCACCACACUACGUGGCAGCCAGACCCGGUCCGUUUGGAAUGCCUGGGAUGGUGCCGCCGCAUGUUCCUCCUCAGAUGCUCAACAUUCCGCAGACCUCUCUGCAAGCAAAGCCCGUGGCCCCACAGGUGCCCAGCCCAGGGGGCGCCCCGGGCCAGGGUCCAUACCCGUACAGCCUCUCUGAGCCAGCACCUCUCACUUUGGACACGAGCGGGAAGAAUCUGACGGAGCAGAACAGCUACAGCAACAUUCCUCACGAAGGGAAGCACACGCCGCUGUAUGAGCGGUCCUUGCCCAUCAACCCGGCCCAGAGCGGCAGCCCCAACCACGUGGAUUCCGCCUACUUCCCUGGCUCUUCUACAUCGUCAUCUUCCGACAACGACGAGGGCAGCGGAGGGGCGACAAAAUAUACAAUCUAUUGGGGAUUCCGUGCCACUGACCACCAUGUACAAGGAAGGGAUUCACAGGCAAGGGGGACAGCAGCCCACUGGCAUGGGGGGCAUGUCUGCUCACCUAACGUUUUCUGGCGGAUUUCUCAUGGCCCAGCGCAACAACUGACAUUCCCUACUGAGCAAGCAGCUCCGCCAGUGUGCCCUGCCCCAGCGUCCCGCCGUCUCUCAGCCCCUGGAUGAGCCCAGGGAACCGGCACUCUACUGAGGACAAAGCAGGGCUCACCUAGCAAUGGAAGCUCUUCAAUACUUAAGGUAGCUAAUUCAAUGUUUGUAAAAGGCAUUUACAACAGAAAACCAAAGAUUGAACUUCAGCUUCAGAUUUGUAAACCAUUCACAUCUCUGCAACUUAAAACAGUAAAUAAAGAUUAUCAAUGCACAA